AAGAAAGUAAGAAAGGGCGUAUGGCGGAUGCCUAGGCUCACGGAGGCGAUGAAGGACGUGAUAAGCUGCGAUAAGCUUCGGGUAGGUGCAAAUAACCUUUGAUCCGAAGAUUUCCGAAUGGGACAACCUAGCCGUCUGAAGGACGGUUACUCAAUCUUCAAGAUUGAGAGCUAACGCAGGGAACUGAAACAUCUUAGUACCUGCAGGAAGAGAAAAUAAAUGAAUGAUUCCCCUAGUAGUGGCGAGCGAACGGGGAACAGCCCAAACCGUUGACGUCGCAAGGCGCCAGCGGGGUUGUAGGACCGCGACAUUGUACUGAAAUGGUGAGUGGAAGUAUCUGGAAAGUUACAUCACAGAAGGUGAUAAUCCUGUACACGAAGCCAGAUCAGGCAUAGCGGUAUCCUGAGUAACGCGGGACACGAGGAAUCCUGCGCGAAUCUGCCGGGACCAUCCGGUAAGGCUAAAUACUCCCGUGAGACCGAUAGCGAACGAGUACUGUGAAGGAAAGGUGAAAAGAACCCCGAGCAGGGGAGUGAAAUAGUUCCUGAAACCAUACGCCUACAAGCGGUCGGAGCAUCGUAAGAUGUGACGGCGUGCCUUUUGCAUAAUGAUCCUACGAGUUACCGUCACUGGCGAGGUUGAGUGUCA
rnacentral:rRNA from 1 species